rnacentral:precursor_RNA from 1 species
UUGGUCAACGUUCAACACAGCAGUUCAGUUGCUGUUUUGGACAUUGGUGUAAG